UACGGGGGGGGCAAGCGUUGUUCGGAAUUACUGGGCGUAAAGGGCUCGUAGGCGGCCAACUAAGUCAGACGUGAAAUCCCUCGGCUUAACCGGGGAACUGCGUCUGAUACUGGAUGGCUUGAGUGCGGGAGAGGGAUGUGGAAUUCCAGGUGUAGCGGUGAAAUGCGUAGAUAUCGGAAGGAACAUCAGUGGCGAAAGCGACUUCCUGGACCAAUACUGACGCUCAUGUGCGAAAGCGUGGGGAGCAAACAGG
rnacentral:rRNA from 1 species